ACACCCCAAAAACAAACAUUUAAUACAGAAAAGUGACUUUGCAGUGUCAGAUGUAAAAAAGCAAAGCUUGUGAGAUUGAAGAAAGGCAGUUUAUAACAUCACAUUUGUAUCAUUACAGUAUGUAAGACUGUAUGUACUAUAUAUAAUACCAAAUAACUGUACCAAAAUACAAAUUUUUAUUAAUAUGUAGUGAAACAAACAAAAAAAUCUAAUUAGAAAAAAAUGAGCUAGUAGUUUGUAUGCCUCCAAUCAGUUGUAUAUUGAUGCUAUAUAAUGUAGACAAACAAAAUUCAAAACAAAGUGCAAAGUGUUAUAUAAUUACACAUAAAAAAGGGAAAUAUAUCAGUCAUUAUUUUCUUCUUUACCAAAAACUUCCUAAACAUUCAUACUGUAAAAGCUGUAUAGUUCUUUGUAUAAGUAAAAUAUAAAAGAGCUUUUUACCCUAAAGUAACCAAGAAUGUUUUAACUACAAAUUAUUAACAGGGCUCUUUGACAGAAGUUGUACUGAACUGGUAAGUCACACACUGUCAAACUUCAUAAAGACAUUCAAGAAGGUCACUUACUCGGGCAGUUGUCUCCCUGCUCCAUACGCCACAAAACACAGAGUAUGUCAAAAUAGCAAAUGCAUUUUGCUUUAAGCCAAGACUUCUCUAAACGCUUAGAAGGCUCUUAUAGAGGCAUUAUGGAUUAUUAUUAAUUUUACUUGAUGCACGUGACCUCAAUUAAAUUCUGAAUCUGAGGAGGAAUUGUGUGAGUAAUCGGAGCAGUUUCAUUUCUUAGUUUUGACAGUCUACCUUAAAGCAGUUUAAAUUACAUUUCUUACAUCCUGAACCAUUUAAAAAAUAAGCUUUAAGAAAGCUGGACAAAACUAAAACAAAGCUAACUUAAUCUUGAGAAGUUUUCAUAUGGGAUGCUAAACUUCAGUUUUAAAGCUAAUACUACAGCAAAGAUUUGCUAUAGUGAAACUACCUUCUGUUUUGGUAACAAAAUUAAGUGCUUAAAGUCUUAAAGUGCCUGCAGUCUUACAGUCCUUAAGAAAAGUAACAGAAUCCAAGCAGGAGGUGUGAGAUGGAGGAAACUAUUUCUGAAUUCAGCUCAUGAAGUUUAGCUUUAAAAUUCAAACAAUAUUUGGCCUUUCAAAAUUUGCUAUUUAGCAAAAACACUUUAAAGAAAAUCUUCCAUUUGGGCCUGAUUUUCUGAACUGCUAAGCAGAUGGAGUUCAUCAAGUUUCCACUGAUUUAAAAGUUACAAUGAAUGGAAGUUGAAAGUAGUUGCCAGCUAGGAGAGUAAAGUACAUACAUAAGAACAGACAAUGGAAAUUAAGACGGCAUUGGUGCGCAUCCCUAAAGAGAGUGUUAUUCGUCAUCUCAGAUCACGGAAACCGUAAAGCACACAUUUAGUUCCAGAAUCAACAAGAACAGCAAGGGAAGGCAUAAUCUUCAAAGGAUCCACAACCAAACAUGCAUAUUGCUGCUGCUAAAACUUAUUCAUCAGUUUGGAAGGAGCCAUCACCAAGCAGAUCAUCUACAUACAUAUAUCUGUAUGGAGAUGAGGUGAAAAGUGGUUCCAGAAGAGUUGAGGAAUACUACACUUCUGCUUUGUGCACCAUUUACUUCAGUGCCAAAGACGACCAGGACACACCACUUACCCUGGCAGAGGUACUGUUACGACUCCGCAUAGAACCAAACAAAUUAAUCCAGAACCCAUGCUAACAAUUCUGCUGGUACAAAAUACCUGGGGAUCACGUGCUAGGAAGCUGUAGUAACCUUUCCAGUGGUGUGUGUGUCUACUUUUUUUUUUUUAGUUCAGAAACAACAAGCCAAAUCAACACUGAUUUUCAUCUUACAGCGUAGUUUCCCACUGCCUAUGUGUCAUGUCCCUAUGAACACAGGCCGUUCUUCAGAAAGUUUACUAAGAUAAAGUUAAAACUCUGAAAAUAAAAGAUGCAAAUGUA